rnacentral:rRNA from 1 species
GAUGAACGCUGGCGGCGUGCCUAAUACAUGCAAGUCGAGCGAAUGGAUUAAGAGCUUGCUCUUAUGAAGUUAGCGGCGGACGGGUGAGUAACACGUGGGUAACCUGCCCAUAAGACUGGGAUAACUCCGGGAAACCGGGGCUAAUACCGGAUAACAUUUUGAACCGCAUGGUUCGAAAUUGAAAGGCGGCUUCGGCUGUCACUUAUGGAUGGACCCGCGUCGCAUUAGCUAGUUGGUGAGGUAACGGCUCACCAAGGCAACGAUGCGUAGCCGACCUGAGAGGGUGAUCGGCCACACUGGGACUGAGACACGGCCCAGACUCCUACGAGAGGCAGCAGUAGUGAAUCUUCCGCAAUGGACGAAAGUCUGACGGAGCAACGCCGCGUGAGUGAUGAAGGCUUUCGGGUCGUAAAACUCUGUUGUUAGGGAAGAACAAGUGCUAGUUGAAUAAGCUGGCACCUUGACGGUACCUAACCAGAAAGCCACGGCUAACUACGUGCCAGCCGCCGCCGUAA